rnacentral:lncRNA from 1 species
GAAAAUGAUCUUAGUACGAGACCAAUUGAUGAGGAAAUGAAUACGGUUAUGAUAAUUAUGCAUGCAAUACAAUGUAUGCAACAUAAGUAUCUCCUUAUAGAGAAAAGUUCGGUGACAAAACUCCAAGAAAAAGGGUAGGGGGAAAAUCCACUAGGGAAUGAGAAUUUCGGCAAAAGAAAGGAUGAUUGCCCCUAUCAAUGGCUGGGGAGAAAAAUAAUGGUGAUUCCUAGCAAUGGCUGGAACACCUAACUCUGAU